rnacentral:lncRNA from 1 species
GAUCGCUGAGUUUAAAAUACACUCUCGACGCGUCGGACCGAUAUGUUAACGAAAGUCGUAAAAUCGAGAACAACGCGAGUGGCUGGAUUAUUGUCGAAAUCGUACGGUUAUUUAUCACCACUGGUGAUAAAUCUACACGUCAAAAUCGUUCAGUAUUCGUUAAAUUCGAAACAAGAACCUCUCCGCAGGUAAAAAUGCAUACCAUCUUUGCGCUUUUCGUUAUAACGAGCGGCUUCAUCACGGAGAUGUGUGCCAACUAUUUAAGGGACAGAUAGUUGUCGAGGAUCAUUAUAUUGAGUUUCUGGCGCACUUUCCAUUCGUCAGUGUGUCCACAAGUUCAAUGCAUACGUCUCAUAUGCGUCUCCUACGCUUAUUAAAAAUAGCAGAUACAGAUUAAAUAGCAAUUUUACGAACGUCGUUGCUGAAAUUAUUAUACGAGGCAGGCAUUUUGAGGACGAAGAACAAUAUUUUUACGUGAACAACGUCACCGUGGCAAUCUUAAAGUUUGAAGGGAUGAAGACUAAUAAACAACAAAGAGGUACACCCGAAAACGUAACGCAGUUGGCAAAUGAUUAUCUUGCACUUGAGUGGGAUCCAUUGACUUACGAAAUAAUUUAUAACAUCAAAAACAUUGCAGCUGAGCUCAUCCAGACCAUUUGGAAUAGGAUUUACACGAAUUUCCCAACUGUUAUGUUAACGUCUCGUUAAAACGCAUCGUCUUGAUUUUAUUGUCAUGAUGAAGAGAUUAAUCAUUUUAUAAUGAGUGUAACUUGCUAGCACAAUUAGUUGUGCAUUACUUAUUUAUUAUUUUGAUACGGAGAUUCGUAUACGCUGCUUUAGAAAAUGGCUUUUUCUUCCAAUGGAGUUCGGUGCGCAUCAAAUGCGAACGAAUGCUCGCGGGUUUGCGGUUGUGACAGAACUCGCAUGAUAGUACACUAUGCACACAGUGCCUCUUUAUUGUACUUUCAUUCAAUGGAUAAAAGUAUGAUAAAAAUACCUAUGUUCCACGCGUUUUCUUCGUUAUACUUGCAAUGUUAGAUAUCUCGUAUACCAUCACUUCGGCUUUCGUCAUAACUGAUGAAGCUCGCGAGUUGUCGCUUGUAAUUAGAACCAUUUCGCGUUACCAAUCUUAUCGGUAAUAAUAUAUAUAUAGAUCCUUCCUAGACCUAAAGAUUCUACGCUAAAGGACCUUACGCUUUGUAAAUUUGGAUAUACGAAAUACGAUUGUAAACUUGGAACUGAAACAAUCUGGACAAUUUUUUUUCGGAGCAUUUUUCAACACCAGUCAAUGGUUCAAUAAGACAAAUUAUUUUUUAGCGGUCCAAAAAUAAAUUCUUUCAUUGAAGCAUCAGCUGUAUCUUAAACAACAUCCAGAACAAUUUUGUCCUGACUGUAAAAUAAAUUCGAGUAUAUAAUUAUCCGGAAAGUACGCGUAUACUUGAGAAUUUCUAGAAAGAAAAGAAUACGUGCAAUAAGCGAGAUAUUUGUUUUCCUCGCAGAGAAAAAAAUCCAUGUAAGAGCGUUUGCAAUAUUGCGUUUGCGAUAUUUUUUCUUCGCGUGAAUAACGGCGCUUAGAUUAUACAAAUUUAUUUGUAAAUUUAACCAACGCAAUAAAGAGUUAUGCACGUA